GAAUGAUGCAACGCACACAGCAAGUGGAACGGCAGGCGACCGGCAAAUGGAAUAGAAUCUAUUGUAGUGAAUGAUGCAACGCACACAGCAAGUGGAACGGCAGGCGACCGGCAAAUGGAAUAGAAUCUAUUGUAGUGAAUGAUGCAACGCACACAGCAAGUGGAACGGCAGGCGACCGGCAAAUGGAAUAGAAUCUAUUGUAGUGAAUGAUGCAACGCACACAGCAAGUGGAACGGCAGGCGACCGGCAAAUGGAAUAGAAUCUAUUGUAGUGAAUGAUGCAACGCACACAGCAAGUGGAACGGCAGGCGACCGGC